rnacentral:lncRNA from 1 species
AAGAUUAUCAACUUUUAAAAAGUCAAAAGUAUGAAAUCAUGGAUGAUGUGAUUAUCGUUUUACUUAUUUUACAAUUUCUUUCAGAAUAAACCUGUAUAGGAGAAUUCAAACACAAGGAAAGACUAAGUGUAUGAAUUUUACUUAUUAGGGUCACACAAUUAAUCAUAUUCCAAACCACUAAAAUACUAAGAAACACUAGAAUGCUUUCUUCCAGUAACAAUACUCCUUCAUCAACUAAUAACAAUAGUGUGCAACUCUGCACUCUCAAAAUACCACUCAAAAUACAAUAAUUUCCAUCCAACACCAGGAAUAACAGACUUUACUCUAACAAUUUGAAUUCACAUAAUUUCUAUAAUCACCAACUUUCUUUGUCCAAAACACAGACAACUCUCAAUAAACAACAGUCAUAAUCUUCUAAUAACUCCUCAUAUAAUUCAAUCACUCAGUACUCCAAUUACAUAAUCAAUAACUCAUAAAUCAAUCUCUGAUUUAUUCCAUAGACUCACUUUUCAAUAUUCAAAAACUAUUCAUUACUCUUCAAUAACAAAGAAAACAAAGAAACAAAGAAGUAGCAUCAAGCUUAUCCUGACUCAUGACUAUUAUAGUCUGGCACCCC